rnacentral:rRNA from 1 species
CGCGUAGGCGGCCGAUCAAGUCGGAGGUGAAAUCCCUCGGCUCAACUGAGGAAUUGCCUUCGAUACUGUUCGGCUUGAGUCCUGGAGAGGGUAGCGGAAUUCCCGGUGUAGCGGUGAAAUGCGUAGAGACCAGGAAGAACACCAGUGGCGAAGGCGGCUACCUGGACAGGUACUGACGCUGAAGCGCGAAGCUAGGGGAGCAAACA